GACGAACGCUGGCGGCGUGCCUAAUACAUGCAAGUCGAACGCUUCUUUCCUCCCGAGUGCUUGCACUCCAUUGGAAAGAGGAGUGGCGGACGGGUGAGUAACACGUGGGUAACCUACCCAUCAGAGGGGGAUAACACUUGGAAACAGGUGCUAAUACCGCAUAACAGUUUAUGCCGCAUGGCAUAAGAGUGAAAGGCGCUUUCGGGUGUCGCUGAUGGAUGGACCCGCGGUGCAUUAGCUAGUUGGUGAGGUAACGGCUCACCAAGGCCACGAUGCAUAGCCGACCGGAGAGGGUGAUCGGCCACACUGGGACUGAGACACGGCCCAGACUCCUACGGGAGGCAGUAGUAGGGAAUCGUCGGCAAUGGACGAAAGUCUGACCGAGCAACGCCGCGUGAGUGAAGAAGGUUUUCGGAUCGUAAAACUCUGUUGUUAGAGAAGAACAAGGACGUUAGUAACUGAACGUCCCCUGACGGUAUCUAACCAGAAAGCCACGGCUAACUACGUG
rnacentral:rRNA from 1 species